rnacentral:rRNA from 1 species
AGGCUUAACACAUGCAAGUCGAGGGGCAUCAGGAAGAAAGCUUGCUUUCUUUGCUGGCGACCGGCGCACGGGUGAGUAACACGUAUCCAACCUGCCCUUUACUCGGGGAUAGCCUUUCGAAAGAAAGAUUAAUACCCGAUGGCAUAAUGAUUCCGCAUGGUUUCAUUAUUAAAGGAUUCCGGUAAAGGAUGGGGAUGCGUUCCAUUAGGUUGUUGGUGAGGUAACGGCUCACCAAGCCUUCGAUGGAUAGGGGUUCUGAGAGGAAGGUCCCCCACAUUGGAACUGAGACACGGUCCAAACUCCUACGGGAGGCAGCAGUGAGGAAUAUUGGUCAAUGGGCGCUAGCCUGAACCAGCCAAGUAGCGUGAAGGAUGAAGGCUCUAUGGGUCGUAAACUUCUUUUAUAUAAGAAUAAAGUGCAGUAUGUAUACUGUUUUGUAUGUAUUAUAUGAAUAAGGAUCGGCUAACUCCGUGCCAGCAGCCGCGGUAAUACGGAGGAUCCGAGCGUUAUCCGGAUUUAUUGGGUUUAAAGGGAGCGUAGGUGGACUGGUAAGUCAGUUGUGAAAGUUUGCGGCUCAACCGUAAAAUUGCAGUUGAUACUGUCAGUCUUGAGUACAGUAGAGGUGGGCGGAAUUCGUGGUGUAGCGGUGAAAUGCUUAGAUAUCACGAAGAACUCCGAUUGCGAAGGCAGCUCACUGGACUGCAACUGACACUGAUGCUCGAAAGUGUGGGUAUCAAACAGGAUUAGAUACCCUGGUAGUCCACACAGUAAACGAUGAAUACUCGCUGUUUGCGAUAUACAGUAAGCGGCCAAGCGAAAGCAUUAAGUAUUCCACCUGGGGAGUACGCCGGCAACGGUGAAACUCAAAGGAAUUGACGGGGGCCCGCACAAGCGGAGGAACAUGUGGUUUAAUUCGAUGAUACGCGAGGAACCUUACCCGGGCUUAAAUUGCAGUGGAAUGAUGUGGAAACAUGUCAGUGAGCAAUCACCGCUGUGAAGGUGCUGCAUGGUUGUCGUCAGCUCGUGCCGUGAGGUGUCGGCUUAAGUGCCAUAACGAGCGCAACCCUUAUCUUUAGUUACUAACAGGUUAUGCUGAGGACUCUAGAGAGACUGCCGUCGUAAGAUGUGAGGAAGGUGGGGAUGACGUCAAAUCAGCACGGCCCUUACGUCCGGGGCUACACACGUGUUACAAUGGGGGGUACAGAAGGCAGCUAGCGGGUGACCGUAUGCUAAUCCCAAAAUCCUCUCUCAGUUCGGAUCGAAGUCUGCAACCCGACUUCGUGAAGCUGGAUUCGCUAGUAAUCGCGCAUCAGCCACGGCGCGGUGAAUACGUUCCCGGGCCUUGUACACACCGCCCGUCAAGCCAUGGGAGCCGGGGGUACCUGAAGUACGUAACCGCAAGGAUCGUCCUAGGGUAAAACUGGUGACUGGGGCU